ensembl:lncRNA NEAT1 nuclear paraspeckle assembly transcript 1
AUAGCUGAGCGAGCCCGGACCAAGGGCUGUGAACCCGCCUGGGGAUGAGGCCUGGUCUUGUGGAACUGAACUUAGCUCGACGGGGCUGACCGCUCUGGCCCAGGGUGGUGGCAGUGCUCCUUUUGGACUUUUCUCUAGGUUUGGCGCUAAACUCUUCUUGUGAGCUCACUCCACCCCUUCUUCCUCCCUUUAACUUAUCCAUUCACUUAAAACAUUACCUGGUCAUCUGGUAAGCCCGGGACAGUAAGCCGAGUGGCUGUUGGAGUCGGUAUUGUUGGUAAUGGUGGAGGAAGAGAGGCCUUCCCGCUGAGGCUGGGGUGGGGCGGAUCGGUGUUGCUUGCCUGCAGAGAGGGUGGGGAGUGAAUGUGCACCCUUGGGUGGGCCUGCAGCCAUCCAGCUGAAAGUUACAAAAAUGCUUCAUGGACCGUGGUUUGUUACUAUAGUGUUCCUCAUGGCGAGCAGAUGGAACCGGGAGACAUGGAGUCCCUGGCCAGUGUGAGUCCUAGCAUUGCAGGAGGGGAGACCCUGGAGGAGAGAGCCCGCCUCAAUUGAUGCCUGCAGAUUGAAUUUCCAGAGGCUUAGGAGGAGGAAGUUCUCCAAUGUUCUGUUUCCAGGCCUUGCUCAGGAAGCCCUGUAUUCAGGAGGCUACCAUUUAAAGUUUGCAGAUGAGCUUAUGGGGGGCAAUCUUAAAAAGUCCACAGCAGAUGCAUCCGGCUCGAGGGGCCAUCAGCUUUGAAUAAAUGCUUGUUCCAGAGCCCAUGAAUGCCAGCAGGCACCCCUCCUUUCCUGGGGUAAAGGUUUUCAGAUGCUGCAUCUUCUAAAUUGAGCCUCCGGUCAUACUAGUUUUGUGCUUGGAACCUUGCUUCAAGAAGAUCCCUAAGCUGUAGAACAUUUUAACGUUGAUGCCACAACGCAGAUUGAUGCCUUGUAGAUGGAGCUUGCAGAUGGAGCCCCGUGACCUCUCACCUACCCACCUGUUUGCCUGCCUUCUUGUGCGUUUCUCGGAGAAGUUCUUAGCCUGAUGAAAUAACUUGGGGCGUUGAAGAGCUGUUUAAUUUUAAAUGCCUUAGACUGGGGAUAUAUUAGAGGAAGCAGAUUGUCAAAUUAAGGGUGUCAUUGUGUUGUGCUAAACGCUGGGAGGGUACAAGUUGGUCAUUCCUAAAUCUGUGUGUGAGAAAUGGCAGGUCUAGUUUGGGCAUUGUGAUUGCAUUGCAGAUUACUAGGAGAAGGGAAUGGUGGGUACACCGGUAGUGCUCUUUUGUUCUUGCUUCGUUUUUUUAAACUUGAACUUUACUUCGUUAGAUUUCAUAAUACUUUCUUGGCAUUCUAGUAAGAGGACCCUGAGGUGGGAGUUGUGGGGGACGGGGAGAAGGGGACAGCUUGGCACCGGUCCCGUGGGCGUUGCAGUGUGGGGGAUGGGGGUAUGCAGCUUGGCACUGGUACUGGGAGGGAUGAGGGUGAAGAAGGGGAGAGGGUUGGUUAGAGAUACAGUGUGGGUGGUGGGGGUGGUAGGAAAUGCAGGUUGAAGGGAAUUCUCUGGGGCUUUGGGGAAUUUAGUGCGUGGGUGAGCCAAGAAAAUACUAAUUAAUAAUAGUAAGUUGUUAGUGUUGGUUAAGUUGUUGCUUGGAAGUGAGAAGUUGCUUAGAAACUUUCCAAAGUGCUUAGAACUUUAAGUGCAAACAGACAAACUAACAAACAAAAAUUGUUUUGCUUUGCUACAAGGUGGGGAAGACUGAAGAAGUGUUAACUGAAAACAGGUGACACAGAGUCACCAGUUUUCCGAGAACCAAAGGGAGGGGUGUGUGAUGCCAUCUCACAGGCAGGGGAAAUGUCUUUACCAGCUUCCUCCUGGUGGCCAAGACAGCCUGUUUCAGAGGGUUGUUUUGUUUGGGGUGUGGGUGUUAUCAAGUGAAUUAGUCACUUGAAAGAUGGGCGUCAGACUUGCAUACGCAGCAGAUCAGCAUCCUUCGCUGCCCCUUAGCAACUUAGGUGGUUGAUUUGAAACUGUGAAGGUGUGAUUUUUUCAGGAGCUGGAAGUCUUAGAAAAGCCUUGUAAAUGCCUAUAUUGUGGGCUUUUAACGUAUUUAAGGGACCACUUAAGACGAGAUUAGAUGGGCUCUUCUGGAUUUGUUCCUCAUUUGUCACAGGUGUCUUGUGAUUGAAAAUCAUGAGCGAAGUGAAAUUGCAUUGAAUUUCAAGGGAAUUUAGUAUGUAAAUCGUGCCUUAGAAACACAUCUGUUGUCUUUUCUGUGUUUGGUCGAUAUUAAUAAUGGCAAAAUUUUUGCCUAUCUAGUAUCUUCAAAUUGUAGUCUUUGUAACAACCAAAUAACCUUUUGUGGUCACUGUAAAAUUAAUAUUUGGUAGACAGAAUCCAUGUACCUUUGCUAAGGUUAGAAUGAAUAAUUUAUUGUAUUUUUAAUUUGAAUGUUUGUGCUUUUUAAAUGAGCCAAGACUAGAGGGGAAACUAUCACCUAAAAUCAGUUUGGAAAACAAGACCUAAAAAGGGAAGGGGAUGGGGAUUGUGGGGAGAGAGUGGGCGAGGUGCCUUUACUACAUGUGUGAUCUGAAAACCCUGCUUGGUUCUGAGCUGCGUCUAUUGAAUUGGUAAAGUAAUACCAAUGGCUUUUUAUCAUUUCCUUCUUCCCUUUAAGUUUCACUUGAAAUUUUAAAAAUCAUGGUUAUUUUUAUCGUUGGGAUCUUUCUGUCUUCUGGGUUCCAUUUUUUAAAUGUUUAAAAAUAUGUUGACAUGGUAGUUCAGUUCUUAACCAAUGACUUGGGGAUGAUGCAAACAAUUACUGUCGUUGGGAUUUAGAGUGUAUUAGUCACGCAUGUAUGGGGAAGUAGUCUCGGGUAUGCUGUUGUGAAAUUGAAACUGUAAAAGUAGAUGGUUGAAAGUACUGGUAUGUUGCUCUGUAUGGUAAGAACUAAUUCUGUUACGUCAUGUACAUAAUUACUAAUCACUUUUCUUCCCCUUUACAGCACAAAUAAAGUUUG